rnacentral:rRNA from 1 species
UACGUAGGGAGCAAGCGUUGUCCGGAAUUAUUGGGCGUAAAGAGCUCGUAGGCGGCCUGUCGCGUCGGCUGUGAAAACCCGAGGCUCAACCUCGGGCCUGCAGUCGAUACGGGCAGGCUAGAGUUCGGUAGGGGAGACUGGAAUUCCUGGUGUAGCGGUGAAAUGCGCAGAUAUCAGGAGGAACACCGGUGGCGAAGGCGGGUCUCUGGGCCGAAACUGACGCUGAGGAGCGAAAGCGUGGGGAGCGA